GAUGAACGCUGGCUACAGGCUUAACACAUGCAAGUCGAGGGGAAACGACGGGGAAGCUUGCUCCCCCGGGCGUCGACCGGCGCACGGGUGAGUAACGCGUAUCCAACCUGCCUCUGACUGAGGGAUAACCCGUCGAAAGUCGGCCUAAUACCUCAUGGCAUCGUCUGCGGGCAUCCAACGACGAUUAAAGAUUUCAUCGGUCAGAGAUGGGGAUGCGUCUGAUUAGCUUGUUGGCGGGGUAACGGCCCACCAAGGCGACGAUCAGUAGGGGUUCUGAGAGGAAGGUCCCCCACAUUGGAACUGAGACACGGUCCAAACUCCUACGGGAGGCAGCAGUGAGGAAGAUUGGUCAAUGGGCGAGAGCCUGAACCAGCCAAGUAGCGUGCAGGAUGACGGCCCUAUGGGUUGUAAACUGCUUUUAUGCGGGGAUAAAGUGAGGGACGUGUCCUUCAUUGCAGGUACCGCAUGAAUAAGGACCGGCUAAUUCCGUG
rnacentral:rRNA from 1 species